CUACGGGCGGCACCAGUGGGGAAUAUUGGACAAUGGGGGAAACCCUGAUCCAGCAAUGCCGCGUGUGUGAAGAAGGCCUGCGGGUUGUAAAGCACUUUCGGUUGGGAGGACUGCUUCUAGCACUAAUAUUGUUGGAAGUUGACGUUACCUUCAGAAGAAGCACCGGCUAACUCCGUGCCAGCAGCCGCGGUAAUACGGAGGGUGCAAGCAUUAAUCGGAAUUACUGGGCGUAAAGCGCGCGUAGGCGGCUAGAUCAGUCGGGUGUGAAAGCCCCGGGCUUAACCUGGGAACUGCAUCCGAUACUGUCUAGCUUGAGUACAGGAGAGGAGAGUGGAAUUCCACAUGUAGCGGUGAAAUGCGUAGAUAUGUGGAGGGACACCAAUGGCGAAGGCAGCUCUCUGGCCUGAUACUGACGCUGAGGUGCGAAAGCGUGGGGAGCAAACAGGAUUAGAUACCCGCGUAGUC
rnacentral:rRNA from 1 species